rnacentral:rRNA from 1 species
UUUGGGAUAACCCCGGGAAACCGGGGCUAAUACCGAAUAUGACCUCUGACCGCAUGGUUGGUGGUGGAAAGUUUUUCGGCUUGGGAUGGGCUCGCGGCCUAUCAGCUUGUUGGUGGGGUGAUGGCCUACCAAGGCGACGACGGGUAGCCGGCCUGAGAGGGCGACCGGCCACACUGGGACUGAGACACGGCCCAGACUCCUACGGGAGGCAGCAGUGGGGAAUAUUGCACAAUGGGCGGAAGCCUGAUGCAGCGACGCCGCGUGAGGGAUGACGGCCUUCGGGUUGUAAACCUCUUUCAGCAGGGACGAAGCGUAAGUGACGGUACCUGCAGAAGAAGCGCCGGCCAACUACGUGCCAGCAGCCGCGGUAAGACGUAGGGCGCGAGCGUUGUCCGGAUUUAUUGGGCGUAAAGAGCUCGUAGGCGGCUUGUCGCGUCGACCGUGAAAACUUGGGGCUCAACCCCAAGCCUGCGGUCGAUACGGGCAGGCUAGAGUUCGGUAGGGGAGACUGGAAUUCCUGGUGUAGCGGUGAAAUGCGCAGAUAUCAGGAGGAACACCGGUGGCGAAGGCGGGUCUCUGGGCCGAUACUGACGCUGAGGAGCGAAAGCGUGGGGAGCGAACAGGAUUAGAUACCCUGGUAGUCCACGCUGUAAACGUUGGGCGCUAGGUGUGGGGGGCCUCUCCGGUUCCCUGUGCCGCAGCUAACGCAUUAAGCGCCCCGCCUGGGGAGUACGGCCGCAAGGCUAAAACU